AACCCUGGGGUCAGCCCGCAGAGCAGCGUGUGAGCCGCGGGACAGCCCCGAGGCGGUGGCGGCGCACGGCAGUGCGGGCACCGGGGUGCGGGCGGGCACGGCGGGUCCCGCGGCUGAGUCACGGCACUGCCAGCCCGCCGGCACGGGCCCCGCGCCGCGCCGCUGGAGGCACCGCUAAUCCUCUCUCACGGCAUUAGGUCCACACUGAGAACAGCCGUCGGUUUCUUAAACUUCCUUAAAGGUUCACAGGGUUUCCCAGGCUUAUGAGUCUGUCUCCUACCAUCUGCUCUUCAGCUGCACUGGAGUCUCAGCACUGAAGUCUCCCAGAGUGCUGCUGGGUUGGCUUGCUUGAAGCAGGCAGGUGAUUCAGGUAAGAUAUGUAAAGCUCCCGAUUUCACAGACCCAUUGUAGGUACUGCUGAUUACUGAUUACCUAUUUAUGUUAACUGGCUGUUAGCAAGUAGAAGUUAACUCAAAUUUCAGGUAGAACUUGAUCUAUUUUAUUCAGCUAGUCUGACUGCAUGUUAUAAAAACUUUUGCCACAGGGACAUUUAGGUGUGUUAUUUAUGUUAGGACCAGCUUGUGUUUCAGAAAGAGACAAAUGUUCUCUCCUUUAAAGCGGUGCAGAACAGAUACCAUUACAGAACAAAGAGCUAGGCUUGGUGGCUAAAAAGUUGGUGAGCUGGACAUGUAAGGAAGACAUGCUUUUUAAAGCAUGGGUGUUUUUGUUGUUGGGGUUUUUUACUGUUUUCUUGCAUCUGUUUUCUUUUGGAAAUCACUGGUGAGGCAUAGCAGUAUGAAAAAUUAUUAAAUGAGGCAACUGAUGAAUAUUUUAGAAUCAAGUUCCUAUGUAACAGCUAAAAUUUCUAUUCUCUUAUAUGUAUUUCUAAAUGAAAGUACCUAAGUCUAUGAAAAAACAGGCACUGAGGAUGAAAAUGAAAUGUUCCCACACAAGAAAAAACAAUUAGAAAAAAAAGUAAUUUUAACCCCUGUCUGCAGCUGUGAAGUUAGACAAACCUAUAUUAACCAUUCCAAACAGUGUCCCAUCAAAUUUCUGUACAGCAAGCUUUUUUUUUCUAAAUGAAAGUAAAUUUUGUUAUAAGAGGUGACAGAAGAAAUCAGACACUAAAGCUUUCCAUGUAUAUGAUCCAGGCAUUCACUAUUUGAUUCUAUUACUUAUAAUUUAAUUAAUUAAGAUAAAUACUCUGGUAUUUGUUUGUUGCUUUAAUGAAAAGACUGUAACUAGGAAGAGGCAAGACUCUUUACCUAAGAAGUUUUGUGAGAUGAAUAAUUUAUUCUGCAGGCAUAAUAUAUCAAGGAAGGUAAUUUAAGUAAGCUUGCAACUCGUACAGCUAAUUAGUUAAGUGACCCUGAAGCUUCAAAUAGGCACUUGAUAUUUGAGGUACCAACAAAGAUUUAUUUCUAGCAAAAAUCAGUUAUUUGUAUAUUAAAUAUGUAGAACUAUUAGAGUACAUAUUUCUUUAUGAUUGGUCACAAUUGUCCAAGUUUACAUGAAGGUUCAGAAUAAGAAUCUCUUCAGCCUAUUGCAUAUGAAGGUAUAAAAGCGAGUUAUUUUCCUACUAUUCUGCUAUUUUAUAUGGUCAAGUGUAAUUAAUGAAACUCCAUUUAGAACAUGGAAGAAAUUAAUAAUUUAAUGGAAUGUCCACAUUUCAGCACAAUACCACUCACCAGUGAGUAUACCAGUUUCUCUUCAAAUUUGUCCAGAUUUUUUACCUGACAGAUCAGCAUCCCCUGUGCAUUUUUAGAAAUUCCAGAAUUUCUGACAGUAUCUGAGAUGAAGUGCUCCAGGCAACAAUUACAAAAUCUGAAGAAGCCAUAACUUCCUAAAACUUUAACUAUUUUAAUACAUUUUGGUGCUAAAAUGGAAAAUAUAUGGGUUUUUUUCAUAUUUCAGCAAGUUUCAAAAUACAUUUUAAAUGUCAUUACUUAAUAAGGAUUACUUCUAAAUCAUGGUACCACACUGGAACUCAUGCCUUAUUGAGUAUUAUAUAUGGGGAAAAAAGAGCUGGUAUGUCAGGUCAUGUAAUCCCAUAAGUACUGGUAAGAACAAAGAAUAUCCUAGACUUAGCUUUAGUACUCAUAGGAAAAUCUCCUGCCACCUCAAAUAAAGAGUUCCACAAACACAGCAGAGCUGGGAGAAGUACUUAGGACUUCCAAAGACCUCACUAACACCCUGGCAAAAGGAUUUAUUUUAGCCUGGAGAAGAAAAGGCUUUGGGAUGACCUUAUUGCAGCUUUGCAGUACCUGAAGGGAGCCUACAAGAGAGAUGGAAAGGGUCUUUUCACAAGAGCAUGUAGUGACAGGACAAGGAGGCAUGCCUUCAAACUGAAAGACAGCCGGGUUAGAUUAGAUACUAGGAAAAAAUCUUUACUGUGAGAGUAGUGAGGCACUGGAACAGGCUGCCCACAGAAAGUUGUGGAUGCCCUAUCCAUGGAAGUAUUCAAGGCCAGGUUGGAUGGGGCUCUGAGCAACCUGCCCAUGGUGGUGGGGUUGGAAAUGGAUGAUCUCUGAGGUCCCUUCCAACUCAGGCCGUUGUAUGAUUCUGUGAUUCUAUGAUGAUGGAACUGCUGUGAGAAUAUGCACUGCAAAUUCAGCCAGACCUAACCCGCUGGGUGUGCAUCAGGAGGUGGGAAUGUGGUAUGGUCGCUUUCCCGUGGAGCCUCAUGCUGCUCCUGUUUUACCCACAAAAUAUUGUGAUCAGCGCUUGGUUGGAUGCUGCAGAUGUAACCUUGAGGACUUUACAGCAGAUCCAAUGGUUUACCCGUUGAGAGAGAUUUAUUGUUUUUCUUGAUAGCCCUUCUGUGAAGACAGGGCUGAGUGCUGCCAGGUCCCAUGGCAGCAGAUGCUCAAGGCCAGGGUGGAUGGGGCUUUGAGCAGCCUCUUCUAGUGGAAGGUGCCCCUGUCCUCGGUGGAGGGGUUGGAAAUGGAUGACAUUUAAAAGGUCCCUUCCAGCCCAAACAAUUCAGUGUUUUCAAAGCCCCACACCUGGAGCUGCCCAGCCUGUGUUCCUGGCUCCUGCUCCCUUGCAUGACUCCAGCUUUUGUUGUCACCAAACUUGAACAUUAUUUAAAGAACAACUUGUUUCCUACCUGCUGCUAUAAACCCGACGGUUUAAAAACUACGUCCGUUGAGCACAAGCGGUUUGUAGCCCACCGCUUGCUGCAGCGAAUCGAAGC